rnacentral:rRNA from 1 species
UACGGGGGGAGCAAGCGUUGUUCGGAUUUACUGGGCGUAAAGGGCGGGUAGGCGGCCACCGCAAGUCAGUUGUGAAAUCUCUGGGCUUAACCCAGAAAGGUCAACUGAUACUGCGGGGCUAGAGUGCAGAAGGGGCAACUGGAAUUCUCGGUGUAGCGGUGAAAUGCGUAGAUAUCUGGAGGAAUACCGGUGGCGAAGGCGGCAUCCUGGACCGACAUUGACGCUGAGGAGCGAAAGCCAGGGGAGCAAACGGG